rnacentral:misc_RNA from 1 species
GGCAAUUGGUGUCCACAAGCCUCUAGUGAAUCCCGUAGGAGAAAAUUACCUCUAGUGAUCCCGAAGGGACACAAUCUGGUGAUAUGGAAGGAAUACCAUCCGCACAACCAACAUAAGAGGGUAACUAUCACUAACAUGCAUAACCUAACAUGCAUAACUGUUAAAGUACAUAGAAAGUCCUACAUCAUAGAUUCGUAAUCUUCCUACACGCAAAUAUAAUCAUGCUCA